CCAAAAGCGACUAGGGUUUUUUCAACCCUAGUGCGGCCACGCUCUUCUCUCACCUCUAUUCGCGUCACUUUGCCAAAAAUAGCAAAAACAUAGAGCCCACAGGAUUUUCUCAAUACGUGCAUAGCCGAAUCGGGUCGCAUUUAUUGCGAACGAGUCUCUCUCCUCCCAAAUUCACCAAACACCACCCAAGGAAGUUGGAGUGAGGAAGCACAAGGCUUUUAAAUUCAUUCUCAACCAAGGUUGCGCUAAAAAAAGAUUUUGAGCGUUCCGAGGCAUUAAUGAAGGGAAAGGCUAUGGCGGAGUGAUUCGCACUGUUCUAGCUCUACAGUUGAGAGUGUAGAUUGUGAUCCAGAGACUGCCACUCAACUUCAUAUUUGGCUUGAGGCCAUUUGCUGACAGAUUGAGGGUGAGCUUCUAUCCGUGCCAGGCCACCCAAAGAUCUUCCUUUAUUUUAAUGUCUAUUUCCAUUCUAGACAUUGAUUUUUGUUUAUUUCGGACUGUAUGGAUUCCGUAGACAUGUUUUGGAUUAGAGUUCUUGUACAGUGACUUUCAGAUUUUGGGGUUGUAAUAGUUAGGACUUUCGCAUUUACAUUAUUGUUUUAUUGCAU